UACGUAGGGGGCAAGCGUUAUCCGGAUUUACUGGGUGUAAAGGGAGCGUAGACGGUUGUGCAAGUCUGAAGUGAAAGGCGGGGGCCCAACCCCCGGACUGCUUUGGAAACUGUAUAACUGGAGUGCAGGAGAGGUAAGUGGAAUUCCUAGUGUAGCGGUGAAAUGCGUAGAUAUUAGGAGGAACACCAGUGGCGAAGGCGGCUUACUGGACUGUAACUGACGUUGAGGCUCGAAAGCGUGGGGAGCAAACAGG
rnacentral:rRNA from 1 species